GCAGAGGUUGUGGAGAAAAAAGAACACUUUUCCACUGUUUGUAGGAACGUAAAUGAGUUCAACCAUUGUGGAAGACAGUGUGGCGAUUCCUCAAUGACCUAGAACUAGAAAUACCAUUUGACCCAGCAAUCCCA